rnacentral:tmRNA from 2 species
GGGAAUGUCUUGGUAUCGACAGGGAUCGUUUGAGCUUAUAUGGCGAGUCGAGGGCAUCGGCCUCGUAAAAACGAUAAAGCCUAAUAACUGGCAAACAAAAUAAUAACUUCGCUUUCGCUGCUUAAUAACAGACGAUAGCGGUUCCACCUUUCAUCGUCCAUGUGGCAGGGUAAGGGACUCAUUCAAAGUGGACUACGCCGAAUUCCACCGUCUGAGGAUAAAGGAAGAGAAUAACCAGACUAGCUGCUUCCAUGCCUGUCAGUAGGCUAACGAAGUGAGCGAUAACUAAUUUUACUGACUACACUCGUAGAUGUAUAAGUGUCAAGAUCUUUGCACACGGGUUCAACUCCCGUCAUUUCCACUA